rnacentral:lncRNA from 1 species
UAGAAGUCAGGUCGGAUUAAGCCAUAGUACGGAAAAAACUAUGCUACCUGUGAGCCCCGUCCAAGGACGUUAAAAGAAGUCAGGCCAUCACAAAUGCCAUAGCUUGAGUAAACUGUGCUGCCUGUAGCUCCACCUGAGAAGGUGUAAAAAAUCUGGGAGGCCACAAACCAUGGAAGCUGUACGCAUGG